GAUGAACGCUGGCGGCGUGCCUAAUACAUGCAAGUCGAGCGAACAGACGAGGAGCUUGCUCCUCUGACGUUAGCGGCGGACGGGUGAGUAACACGUGGAUAACCUACCUAUAAGACUGGGAUAACUUCGGGAAACCGGAGCUAAUACCGGAUAACAUGUUGAACCGCAUGGUUCAACAGUGAAAGACGGUUUUGCUGUCACUUAUAGAUGGAUCCGCGUCGCAUUAGCUAGUUGGUAAGGUAACGGCUUACCAAGGCAACGAUGCGUAGCCGACCUGAGAGGGUGAUAGGCCACACUGGAACUGAGACACGGUCCAGACUCCUACGGGAGGCAGCAGUAGGGAAUCUUCCGCAAUGGGCGAAAGCCUGACGGAGCAACGCCGCGUGAGUGAAGAAGGUCUUCGGAUCGUAAAACUCUGUUAUUAGGGAAGAACAAAUGUGUAAGUAACUAUGCACGUCUUGACGGUACCUAAUCAGAAAGCCACGGCUAACUACGUG
rnacentral:rRNA from 1 species